UACGAAGGGUGCAAGCGUUACUCGGAAUUACUGGGCGUAAAGCGUGCGUAGGUGGUUUGUUAAGUCUGUUGUGAAAGCCCCGGGCUCAACCUGGGAAUGGCAAUGGAUACUGGCAGGCUAGAGUGCGGUAGAGGGUAGUGGAAUUCCCGGUGUAGCGGUGAAAUGCGUAGAGAUCGGGAGGAACACCAGUGGCGAAGGCGGCUCACUGGCCCGGUACUGACGCUGAGGCGCGAAAGCGUGGGGAGCAAACAGG
rnacentral:rRNA from 1 species